rnacentral:rRNA from 1 species
UACAGAGGGUGCGAGCGUUAAUCGGAAUUACUGGGCGUAAAGCGCGCGUAGGCGGCUUUUCAAGUCGGAUGUGAAAUCCCCGGGCUCAACCUGGGAACUGCAUUCGAGACUGUCUAGCUAGAGUAUGGGAGAGGGAAGUGGAAUUUCAGGUGUAGCGGUGAAAUGCGUAGAUAUCUGAAGGAACAUCAGUGGCGAAAGCGACUUCCUGGACCAAUACUGACGCUCAUGUGCGAAAGCGUGGGGAGCAAACAGGAUUAGAAACCCGCGUAGUCC